AGGGGACGGCGGCGGCCGCGCCCGCCGCACCGGCCUCGGGGGCGACACCCGCCUCCGUCUUCCCUCUCCGAGGGGAAAACUUAUGUCCCUCCCCGACAGACCCGAGACGCUGCCCCCAGCGAAGCACCCGGCACCCCGCGAAACUAGCGGGGAAUUUCUUCCCAGAUGGAAAAAGGAGCCUGAGGGGAAACAGGAGAUGAGCCCCUAAGUGCAGCUAUGAGGAAGCGAGUUUCUCUGUUGAAUAGUGAGUCGUUGGCCUCCGUGUAAAGCUGGCUCCGAAGGCUGGGUUUUGUCUGCGUAGCUGCUGCUGAAUCAUACCUCGUUCCUGCGUGAUAUCACUGCGCUUGCGGAGCCUGCAGAAUAUCAACAGAAGAGAUAAAUCUUGCUGUGGGAGCAAGCCUUAGCAUUAAGACUACCACCUUCUUCUGGACUUGGGCUGUUUAUCUCUAGAGCUGGAAGGCAUCAGGAGGCUGAAAGUUACCUGUCAGUACGUUAUAGCAGGAGGCUGAGUCUAGAAGAAGGAUGGCUUGGGUUUUGAAGUGGCUCCUUUGCUUUCAUGUGCUGUUUAUAACUCCACUGCUCCAGUGUUGUCUUCCUGCAGAACAGCCCGGAUGGCAUGGAGUCCCCAGCAUGGGUGCUGGCCCUCCGCUGCCUGGUAGUUACAGUGUGGAAACGGAGAUUCUGAAUAGCAAAUUUAAACCUAGUGAGACAUCUGCUUGCUUUCCCUAGCUAUCUGUCACAGAAGUUACAUACAGAGGCACAAGCAUCUUCAUACCACAGGGACUGUUUCUACAAAGCAAUCCAUCACUGUUCCCUUCAUUUGUCAGCCCCUACAACUGCCUGCCUGCAGAGAGUCUGUCUGUGGCAUUAGGGGAGCUGACACCGAUCCUGAAAGUUCCUUCAAGAGGUCGGAGGGAGAACAGCCGGGGCCUAACCCAGCCUCAGCACGAGGUGACACUAGCAUGGCUUCAGGAAGCCCCUUCUUCGUAAUUCAGUGCUCUCUAGUUUGCUAUUUUGAAGGCAUGUGGAAGAUCAAGCCUUCUCCGAGGGACUUUCUCCGUGUGAAGUCUACAUGCCCGAGCUUUCGUACUGUGCUGGGUCAGCUUCCCUCCGGUGUCUGGAAGUCACAUUAGGAGCACCACCUGCUUCUCUGAACGGCACACACCUACCAGGCACUUCUGGCUUGCUUCUGCAUUUAAUGGAGCAAUUACUCCCUAAAGGAUUCAGCACAGUUCCUGUGUUGUCGAAGAAGCACCAGCAUUUCCUUUGCAAAUCUUUGGUUCCCAACAAAGUUAGUGGAACAAUAUCUCCAAAUUUGCUGUAGCUGGAUUAGGGCCCUAAACUGAGUUCACUUUGGGAUAAUGCUGAGGAAAUCUGUUGUUUUCUGAACGUGGAAGAAAUCGUAUAUUCCACCUGCUGUGAUUGCCAAGGAAGAGAAAUAUAAGGAAUCUUUUUAGCUUUAAGCUUUUUGCUUUUGUGCUCUAGGACCAACUGCUGGGGCAGGAGCUUCGCUGGAAUCGGUGCCUCCGGUGGGUUUGCCCCAUUUCCGGAGCUGGCUCCAUGCUGGUGCUCUCGGUGGUCCUCAAGGUUAGUGGAAAGAACAGGCCCCGCGUCGUAAGGGGAAGGGCAGACGUCCAAGAGAGAAAGUGAUCGCAGUCAGCCCCUGGAAGAAAAGUUUAAAUCUGAGUGAUUCUGAUAUUAAUAACAUUGUAACCUGCAAAAGAGUUUGAUUCUGGUAAGAAAAUAUGUUUCCAUAACUCUUAGUGCAUCUAGUGUGUUUUUCUUAGUUUUCUUAGUUGAACUCAGCUGAUCAGAUACCUCAAUUAAUUUGAAUGGGACUACUAAAUACACUAUUGGAACUAAAUGCAGGAUAAUACUGUAUGCAGUGAUAGUACUCUACAGAAUCUGGGUUUCCAGUUAAUUCAAACAAAUGUUUCAUUAAAGUGAAUGGAUCUUCCACUUGUACAUAGCAGGUCUUAUUUAUCGCAGUGCUCAGUGAAGCAGAAUAUCAAGCUGUUGAAAUUCAAUGUACAUUUGCAAUUAGUGCCACAGAUUCAUUCUCAUGAAUGUGAGGGUUU